rnacentral:rRNA from 1 species
CUUCUCCCUUUCAUUCAGAUGGUCAGACGGUCGACGCCACCCAACAAUGCUCCAGCACUCACCGCGCUUAUUGAUCAUUGGCGGCCGGAGACACACAAUUUCCAUCUUCGGACCGGGGAGAUGACCGUGACGCUCCAGGAUAUUGCUAUGAUCACCGGUCUUCCUAUCGAUGGGAAUCCUCUAUGUAUGAGCACCGAUUCUGAUGGGUGGCACGCGUAG